AGCGGCGGACGGGUGAGUAACGCGUGGGUAACCUGCCCUGUACACACGGAUAACAUACCGAAAGGUAUGCUAAUACGAGAUAAUAUGCUUUUAUCGCAUGGUAGAAGUAUCAAAGCUUUUGCGGUACAGGAUGGACCCGCGUCUGAUUAGCUAGUUGGUAAGGUAACGGCUUACCAAGGCGACGAUCAGUAGCCGACCUGAGAGGGUGAUCGGCCACAUUGGAACUGAGACACGGUCCAAACUCCUACGGGAGGCAGCAGUGGGGAAUAUUGCACAAUGGGCGAAAGCCUGAUGCAGCAACGCCGCGUGAGCGAUGAAGGCCUUCGGGUCGUAAAGCUCUGUCCUCAAGGAAGAUAAUGACGGUACUUGAGGAGGAAGCCCCGGCUAACUACGUGCCAGCAGCCGCGGUAAUACGUAGGGGGCUAGCGUUAUCCGGAAUUACUGGGCGUAAAGGGUGCGUAGGUGGUUUCUUAAGUCAGAGGUGAAAGGCUACGGCUCAACCGUAGUAAGUCUUUGAAACUGGGAAACUUGAGUGCAGGAGAGGAGAGUGGAAUUCCUAGUGUAGCGGUGAAAUGCGUAGAUAUUAGGAGGAACACCAGUUGCGAAGGCGGCUCUCUGGACUGUAACUGACACUGAGGCACGAAAGCGUGGGGAGCAAACAGGAUUAGACACCCUGGUAGUCCACGCCGUAAACGAUGAGUACUAGCUGU
rnacentral:rRNA from 1 species